rnacentral:rRNA from 1 species
GGUUAAGCGACUAAGCGUACACGGUGGAUGCCCUGGCAGUCAGAGGCGAUGAAGGACGUGCUAAUCUGCGAUAAGCGUCGGUAAGGUGAUAUGAACCGUUAUAACCGGCGAUUUCCGAAUGGGGAAACCCAGUGUGAUUCGUCACACUAUCAUUAACUGAAUCCAUAGGUUAAUGAGGCGAACCGGGGGAACUGAAACAUCUAAGUACCCCGAGGAAAAGAAAUCAACCGAGAUUCCCCCAGUAGCGGCGAGCGAACGGGGAGGAGCCCAGAGCCUGAAUCAGUGUGUGUGUUAGUGGAAGCGUCUGGAAAGGCGCGCGAUACAGGGUGACAGCCCCGUACACAAAAAUACACAUAUUGUGAGCUCGAUGAGUAGGGCGGGACACGUGGUAUCCUGUCUGAAUAUGGGGGGACCAUCCUCCAAGGCUAAAUACUCCUGACUGACCGAUAGUGAACCAGUACCGUGAGGGAAAGGCGAAAAGAACCCCGGCGAGGGGAGUGAAAAAGAACCUGAAACCGUGUACGUACAAGCAGUGGGAGCACGCUUAGGCGUGUGACUGCGUACCUUUUGUAUAAUGGGUCAGCGACUUAUAUUCUGUAGCAAGGUUAACCGAAUAGGGGAGCCGAAGGGAAACCGAGUCUUAACUGGGCGUUAAGUUGCAGGGUAUAGACCCGAAACCCGGUGAUCUAGCCAUGGGCAGGUUGAAGGUUGGGUAACACUAACUGGAGGACCGAACCGACUAAUGUUGAAAAAUUAGCGGAUGACUUGUGGCUGGGGGUGAAAGGCCAAUCAAACCGGGAGAUAGCUGGUUCUCCCCGAAAGCUAUUUAGGUAGCGCCUCGUGAAUUCAUCUCCGGGGGUAGAGCACUGUUUCGGCAAGGGGGUCAUCCCGACUUACCAACCCGAUGCAAACUGCGAAUACCGGAGAAUGUUAUCACGGGAGACACACGGCGGGUGCUAACGUCCGUCGUGAAGAGGGAAACAACCCAGACCGCCAGCUAAGGUCCCAAAGUCAUGGUUAAGUGGGAAACGAUGUGGGAAGGCCCAGACAGCCAGGAUGUUGGCUUAGAAGCAGCCAUCAUUUAAAGAAAGCGUAAUAGCUCACUGGUCGAGUCGGCCUGCGCGGAAGAUGUAACGGGGCUAAACCAUGCACCGAAGCUGCGGCAGCGACACUAUGUGUUGUUGGGUAGGGGAGCGUUCUGUAAGCCUGUGAAGGUGUGCUGUGAGGCAUGCUGGAGGUAUCAGAAGUGCGAAUGCUGACAUAAGUAACGAUAAAGCGGGUGAAAAGCCCGCUCGCCGGAAGACCAAGGGUUCCUGUCCAACGUUAAUCGGGGCAGGGUGAGUCGACCCCUAAGGCGAGGCCGAAAGGCGUAGUCGAUGGGAAACAGGUUAAUAUUCCUGUACUUGGUGUUACUGCGAAGGGGGGACGGAGAAGGCUAUGUUGGCCGGGCGACGGUUGUCCCGGUUUAAGCGUGUAGGCUGGUUUUCCAGGCAAAUCCGGAAAAUCAAGGCUGAGGCGUGAUGACGAGGCACUACGGUGCUGAAGCAACAAAUGCCCUGCUUCCAGGAAAAGCCUCUAAGCAUCAGGUAACAUCAAAUCGUACCCCAAACCGACACAGGUGGUCAGGUAGAGAAUACCAAGGCGCUUGAGAGAACUCGGGUGAAGGAACUAGGCAAAAUGGUGCCGUAACUUCGGGAGAAGGCACGCUGAUAUGUAGGUGAAGUCCCUCGCGGAUGGAGCUGAAAUCAGUCGAAGAUACCAGCUGGCUGCAACUGUUUAUUAAAAACACAGCACUGUGCAAACACGAAAGUGGACGUAUACGGUGUGACGCCUGCCCGGUGCCGGAAGGUUAAUUGAUGGGGUCAGCGCAAGCGAAGCUCUUGAUCGAAGCCCCGGUAAACGGCGGCCGUAACUAUAACGGUCCUAAGGUAGCGAAAUUCCUUGUCGGGUAAGUUCCGACCUGCACGAAUGGCGUAAUGAUGGCCAGGCUGUCUCCACCCGAGACUCAGUGAAAUUGAACUCGCUGUGAAGAUGCAGUGUACCCGCGGCAAGACGGAAAGACCCCGUGAACCUUUACUAUAGCUUGACACUGAACAUUGAGCCUUGAUGUGUAGGAUAGGUGGGAGGCUUUGAAGUGUGGACGCCAGUCUGCAUGGAGCCGACCUUGAAAUACCACCCUUUAAUGUUUGAUGUUCUAACGUUGACCCGUAAUCCGGGUUGCGGACAGUGUCUGGUGGGUAGUUUGACUGGGGCGGUCUCCUCCUAAAGAGUAACGGAGGAGCACGAAGGUUGGCUAAUCCUGGUCGGACAUCAGGAGGUUAGUGCAAUGGCAUAAGCCAGCUUGACUGCGAGCGUGACGGCGCGAGCAGGUGCGAAAGCAGGUCAUAGUGAUCCGGUGGUUCUGAAUGGAAGGGCCAUCGCUCAACGGAUAAAAGGUACUCCGGGGAUAACAGGCUGAUACCGCCCAAGAGUUCAUAUCGACGGCGGUGUUUGGCACCUCGAUGUCGGCUCAUCACAUCCUGGGGCUGAAGUAGGUCCCAAGGGUAUGGCUGUUCGCCAUUUAAAGUGGUACGCGAGCUGGGUUUAGAACGUCGUGAGACAGUUCGGUCCCUAUCUGCCGUGGGCGCUGGAGAACUGAGGGGGGCUGCUCCUAGUACGAGAGGACCGGAGUGGACGCAUCACUGGUGUUCGGGUUGUCAUGCCAAUGGCACUGCCCGGUAGCUAAAUGCGGAAGAGAUAAGUGCUGAAAGCAUCUAAGCACGAAACUUGCCCCGAGAUGAGUUCUCCCUGACUCCUUGAGAGUCCUGAAGGAACGUUGAAGACGACGACGUUGAUAGGCCGGGUGUGUAAGCGCAGCGAUGCGUUGAGCUAACCGGUACUAAUGAACCGUGAGGCUUAACCUU